rnacentral:rRNA from 1 species
AGAGUUUGAUCAUGGCUCAGGAUGAACGCUGGCGGCGUGCUUAACACACGCAAGUCGAACGAACCUUCGGGUUAGUGGCGGACGGGUGAGUAACGCGUGGGAACCUGCCCUCAGGAGGGGGAUAACGGCUGGAAACGGCCGCUAAUACCCCAUAUGCCGAGAGGUGAAAAGAAAUUCGCCUGAGGAUGGGCCCGCGUCUGAUUAGCUAGUUGGUGGGGUAAGAGCCUACCAAGGCGACGAUCAGUAGCUGGUCUGAGAGGAUGAUCAGCCACACUGGGACUGAGACACGGCCCAGACUCCUACGGGAGGCAGCAGUGGGGAAUUUUCCGCAAUGGGCGAAAGCCUGACGGAGCAACGCCGCGUGAGGGAUGAAGGCCUCUGGGCUGUAAACCUCUUUUCUCAAGGAAGAAGAACUGACGGUACUUGAGGAAUAAGCCACGGCUAAUUCCGUGCCAGCAGCCGCGGUAAUACGGGAGUGGCAAGCGUUAUCCGGAAUUAUUGGGCGUAAAGCGUCCGCAGGCGGCCUUGUAAGUCUGUCGUUAAAGCGUGGAGCUUAACUCCAUUUGAGCGAUGGAAACUACAAGGCUUGAGUGUGGUAGGGGCAGAGGGAAUUCCCGGUGUAGCGGUGAAAUGCGUAGAUAUCGGGAAGAACACCAGUGGCGAAGGCGCUCUGCUGGGCCAUAACUGACGCUCAUGGACGAAAGCCAGGGGAGCGAAAGGGAUUAGAUACCCCUGUAGUCCUGGCCGUAAACGAUGAACACUAGGUGUCGGGGGAAUCGACCCCCUCGGUGUCGUAGCCAACGCGUUAAGUGUUCCGCCUGGGGAGUACGCACGCAAGUGUGAAACUCAAAGGAAUUGACGGGGGCCCGCACAAGCGGUGGAGUAUGUGGUUUAAUUCGAUGCAACGCGAAGGACCUUACCAGGGUUUGACAUCCUGCGAACCUCUGAGAAAUCGGGGGGUGCCUUCGGGAACGCAGAGACAGGUGGUGCAUGGCUGUCGUCAGCUCGUGUCGUGAGAUGUUGGGUUAAGUCCCGCAACGAGCGCAACCCACGUCUUUAGUUGCCAGCAUUCAGUUGGGCACUCUAGAGAGACCGCCGGUGAUAAACCGGAGGAAGGUGUGGAUGACGUCAAGUCAUCAUGCCCCUUACAUCCUGGGCUACACACGUACUACAAUGCUACGGACAAAGGGCAGCAAGCUCGCGAGAGUAAGCAAAUCCCAUAAACCGUGGCUCAGUUCAGAUCGUAGGCUGCAACUCGCCUACGUGAAGGAGGAAUCGCUAGUAAUCGCAGGUCAGCAUACUGCGGUGAAUACGUUCCCGGGCCUUGUACACACCGCCCGUCACACCAUGGAAGUUGGCCACGCCCGAAGUCGUUACUCCAACCCUUGUGGAGGAGGACGCCGAAGAUGGGGCUGAUGACUGGGGUGAAGUCGUAACAAGGUAACC